CCAAAUCCUAAAUGCAUAGGCAAAUAUUUUUUGUAUUUUUCCAAAUAAAAAUAAACAUGCACAGACGAAUGCAAAAAAUAAAAGAAAAAUAGUACUAAAUCCACAAAAAUUGCAAACAACACAAGAUUAGUUUAUUUUGAAUUUUUGGGAGUAGUUCUCAUAGGAAAAAAAUCACGUGCUCACAUGUAGUUUGACCGGGGCCGAGCUUUAUGUUGCCCGAAUCUUAGUUCGAGUUGGGACUACUUACUUGACUAGCGAGGGAGCCUAGUCUACGCCUCGUUUCGUCGGAGGUCAUGUUUUGCUAAGUUCUAUGAGGAAGGCGCUUGGCUUGUUAGAUUUGAGGACGCAUGCAUCUAUCAUUGUAGUUCGAAUGGGGUUGUACUUGUUAGAUUUAAUGGCGAAGGCGCAUAGCCUGAAUCCCA
rnacentral:lncRNA from 1 species